AUCAGUUCCUAGAUCAACUCCAUCUAGCACCCACAUGAUAUUAAAUUAAUUUUUCUUGGGGGAGGUCCCACCACAGUAGUUUGCUACUAGGGAUCUCAAGUGUCAACCAUGCGUUGCACGACUGCAAGGACCUGGCGCACCCCCU
rnacentral:snRNA from 1 species